CCUACGGGUGGCAGCAGUGAGGAAUAUUGGUCAAUGGGCGAGAGCCUGAACCAGCCAAGUAGCGUGAAGGAUGAAGGAUCUAUGGGUUGUAAACUUCUUUUAUAUGGGAAUAAAGUGAGGAACGUGUUCCUUUUUGUAUGUACCAUAUGAAUAAGCAUCGGCUAACUCCGUGCCAGCAGCCGCGGUAAUACGGAGGAUGCGAGCGUUAUCCGGAUUUAUUGGGUUUAAAGGGAGCGUAGGUGGGUAGUUAAGUCAGCGGUGAAAGUUUGUGGCUCAACCAUAAAAUUGCCGUUGAAACUGGUAGACUUGAGUAUGUUUGAGGUAGGCGGAAUGCGUGGUGUAGCGGUGAAAUGCAUAGAUAUCACGCAGAACUCCGAUUGCGAAGGCAGCUUACUAGACUAUAACUGACACUGAGGCACGAAAGCGUGGGGAUCAAACAGGAUUAGAUACCCCAGUAGUC
rnacentral:rRNA from 1 species